rnacentral:lncRNA from 1 species
AAAAAACACUUUUUGGGUGACUUGGUACACCCCAAAUCUAUACCAAGUGGCGACUCCGUUUUCAUAUUUAAAAAAAACCCUUUUUAAAAUUUCAUUUGGCCAAAUCGUCGCUUUCCAAAGUCCCAUGGCCUUUUUACUUUUCAUUUUGCACACGUUCACACCACACUUCACACACACAUCACACACAAUUCAUUCAUUCGAAAAGUGGGGCGCGACAUUAUUCAUUGCUUAGGUUGUUGAUCAUAUCCUUCAACAAAUGGAAGGAUAUCCUUGUGCCAUGCCAUUUCUGUAGCAUUUCCUAGUAGGAAGAUAGGAAAUCGUGACUAUAAAAAAGUCCAUUC